UACGUAGGGUCCAAGCGUUAAUCGGAAUUACUGGGCGUAAAGCGUGCGCAGGCGGUUUUGUAAGCCAGAUGUGAAAUCCCCGGGCUUAACCUGGGAAUGGCAUUUGGGACUGCAAGGCUAGAGUACGGCAGAGGAGACUAGAAUUCCUGGUGUAGCAGUGAAAUGCGUAGAUAUCAGGAGGAAUACCGAUGGCGAAGGCAGGUCUCUGGGUCGAUACUGACGCUCAUGCACGGAAGCGUGGGGAGCAAACAGG
rnacentral:rRNA from 1 species